rnacentral:pre_miRNA from 2 species
UCUUACGGAUGAGCAAAGAAAGUGGUUUCCUAAAAUAGAAUCUACUCCUGGUAUAGAUGCUCUGAA